UUCCGGUUGAUCCUGCCGGACCCGACUGCUAUCGGAUUGAGAUUUAGCCAUGCGAGUCGAACGCCUUCCUGUUGCGGGAGGCGUGGCGUACGGCUCAGUGACACGUAGUCAACCUGCCCUCGAGACGUGGACAACCCCGGGAAACUGGGAUUAAUUCCAUGAUAGGUCAUCUCAUCUGGAAGGAGAGAUGGCUUAAAGGGGCGAGCGAGCUUCUUUUGUUCGCCUGCUCGAGGAUGGGACUGCGGCCGAUCAGGCUGUUGGCGGGGUAAUGGCCCACCAAACCUGUAACCGGUACGGGCCUUGAGAGAGGGGGCCCGGAGAUGGACACUGAGAGAAGGGUCCAGGUCCUACGGGGCGCAGCAGGCGCGAAACCUUCGCAAUGCGCGAAAGCGUGACGAGGUUAAUCCGAGUGGUCCCCGCUGAGGGGAUCUUUUGUCGACUGUAAAAAGGUCGGUGAAUAAGGGGAGGGCAAGUCUGGUGUCAGCCGCCGCGGUAAUACCAGCUCCUCGAGUGGUCGGGGCGAUUAUUGGGCCUAAAGCAUCCGUAGCCUGUUCUGUAGGUCUUCCGUUAAAUCCAGUAGCUUAACUAUUGGCAGGCGGAGGAUACCGCAGGACUAGGAGGCGGGAGAGGUGGGCGGUACUCUACGUGUAGGGGUAAAAUCCUUUGAUCCGUAGAAGACCACCAGUGGCGAAGGCGGCCCACCAGAACGCGCUCGACGGUGAGGGAUGAAAGCUGGGGGAGCGAACCGGAUUAGAUACCCGGGUAGUCCCAGCCGUAAACGAUGCGAGCUAGAUGAU
rnacentral:rRNA from 1 species